CCUACGGGUGGCAGCAGUAGGGAAUAUUGCUCAAUGGGGGAAACCCUGAAGCAGCAACGCCGCGUGGAGGAUGAAGGUUUUCGGAUUGUAAACUCCUUUUGUUAGAGAAGAUAAUGACGGUAUCUAACGAAUAAGCACCGGCUAACUACGUGCCAGCAGCCGCGGUAAUACGGAGGGUGCAAGCUUUACUCGGAAUCACUGGGCGUAAAGGGCGCGUAGGCGGGAUAGCAAGUCAGAUGUGAAAUCCUAUGGCUUAACCAUAGAACUGCAGUUGAAACUGGUAUUCUAGAGUAUGGGAGAGGUAGGUGGAAUUCUUGGUGUAGGGGUAAAAUCCGUAGAUAUCAAGAGGAAUACUCAUUGCGAAGGCGACCUGCUAGAACAUAACUGACGCUGAUGCGCGAAAGCGUGGGGAGCAAACAGGAUUAGAUACCCCAGUAGUC
rnacentral:rRNA from 1 species